rnacentral:sRNA from 1 species
AUUGCUGUGAAAAUACAGCGGUAUUUGGUGAAUGUGCGUUACAACGUCCUGCCGAAGUGCUCUUCGUUGCCCCUUCCUCAGUACUCUCUGGAUUUCUCAGCAGGAUUCCGUCAUGGAAUAUGAAGGUCCCGUGAGGGCAAAUUUUUGAAAGACAGGAAAGAUCAAUGUCCGAUACCAAAACCGGCCACGUGAAGUGGUUCAACGAGUCCAAGGGCUUUGGCUUCAUCGCUCAGGAUGGUGGCAGUGACGUUUUCGUUCACUACAGUGCAAUCAACGCUUCCGGGUUCCGUACCCUGACCGAAGGUCAGCAGGUGCAGUUCACCGUGACGCAGGGCCCGAAAGGUCCCCAGGCGGAAAACGUAACACCGGUGUAAACCGGUUGCGUUGACCGUCCCUUGCCCCUCACGGGCAGAGGAAACGUAAAAGCCGGCGCACUGCCGGCUUUUUUGU